rnacentral:tRNA from 1 species
GGGUGCUUAGCUCAGCUGGGAGAGCAACUCGUUUACACCGAGUAGGUCGGGGGUUCGAGCCCCUCAGCACCCACCA